CCCUGCAUCUGGCACAGACACUCCACACAAAUAUACACCCUUACAUUUGCACAAAAUACAUAAAUAUAGUCCAUUUAUGCUUACAUUCACACACAUAGACACACAUUACAGCAUGCACAGACACACUGACAUUUCAUGCCAUGAACAACACAUGUAUUAAAACCAAAAUGCAGUUUCGAUGCAUUUUCUGGCCUCACUAGUAGACCAGGGCAUGUACUUUUGAGUCCUGUAUGUAUACAUAUAAAUAUUUUUAGAUAUUUUGUAGUGUACUGAUCAAUUUUUGCACCCUUUUGGUUUGUCCAAAUCCUUUUUCCUAAGCUGUCGCAAAAAAUGAUUUGGGCAAGCUAAAUCUUUUCCUCGGUGUUCAAGUCUAGUUUCUAUUACAUUUUUGUGUGUUCUGUUUGCCUAUUUCUGUAACCAAGAUAUAGAGAAAUUCUGAAUGCUAAUUUAAGCAGAUAACUGCCCUCUUUGUGGUAUUAAACUCAUUUUCCUCCCCCGUUACAAUUUGGAGCUCAUUAUAAUAUAUUACACUGUAUGUCUAUUAUCAUCACAUUUAUUGACUUUCUCCCCAAAAAUAAAAAAAACACAAAAAGGCACAAAACUGCCUGCAGCACUUUGAUAAAUCUCACAAUUUUAUAAAUUAAAUAGUAAAAAAAAUCCUUUACAAUACAUUUUUAUCUUAAAUUGGAGUUCAAUAUAAUAUGGAAAUAUGUAACGGCUGUGAUACAUAUACGAGGGAUUGUACAUAAAUAUUUGUGUUACUAUUUGGCCAUGAACCAAUUAAUAUGCACUCUAAUUUUUAGAAUUGUUUAAUUUCUCUAUUAAGCUUUGGUGUUUAAGCAAAAUGUUCCAUAUAGAUAUGUAUAAGCCAGUUUAACGUAUACUGACUGAAUAUAAAAUUGUUUUAAUAUUUUUUUUAAAUGGAGAGGAAGAGCUAUGAAACCUAAAAUGAGUGUGUGAAAAGAUCCAUGAUUGCUAAUUUGCCCUUGGCCCUAAAUUGUUUCAUGGACAGCCAGGUUUAAGUGUUGAGAAUGUAUUACAUGUUCGAAACCUAGUAAUGCUGUCUUUGUUCUCUCCCAAUAAUCAAGGGUUUUAGAUGAAUAAAACUGUUAAAAGAACAAUCUUGGCACUUAAGUUUGCUAUAAUGCUGAAAUACAUGAUGCAGCAAAAAAAAAAGAAAGAAGAACAAUCAAAGGAAAGAGAAACAAGUGCAUUUUGUUAAUGACUGAUUCAUUUACGUCUGAUUGCUUGUCAGAGGUUAUGCCUUAUUUACACCUAAGCUAUCAGCCAUAGAACCUGAUAAGAUAUCUUACUGGAGGCCAUUCAGGGGACAUCUCUAUCUGAUGCAAAAAAUUAUUUAUUGGCUUAAUAAAAUAAUAUAUUUGUAUAUUUCAUUUGUUUAUACUGGUUAUUAAUAAUUUAAAAAUAUGUGGCACCUUUUAGAAUUCUUUGGAAGUAUUUAAAUGUUGUGUAAUAAGG